UUGUUUAUCUUUGCAUGAUUAAUUAACAACUUUUAUAAAAUUUAUAAUUAUAAAUUUAUUAAAGCAAGCAAUUAGCUUAAAUUUUGUACUGAAAGAAUCAUCAAAUGAACUAAAUUAACCAAAUUGAAAGAUUGAGUUUAAAAUCAAAACUUUAAAAAUAUUGGAUAGCUGAAUCAAAAUAGUCCAAAUUUUAGAUAAUUUUUACACAUUUUUAUCUUUUUUUUUAAUUACAUCUGACAUAUAGGAACUACACCAACAGGCACGGAAUUAAUACCAAGCUCUGAUACUAUAUUACCAAAGAAAUUAAUUUACUAAAAAUAAUCCAAAAUUCGUCUUAACACAAAUUAAUUACCUUAUUAUAUUCCAUAUUUCCAUGUCAUCUAGAA
rnacentral:lncRNA from 1 species